UUAUCAUAAAUGUUCUUCCUUGAGCUGCGUCACCCCGCUGUAGUCCGUAAUGGACUGACCUGAGGUCUCACUACAAACAAGCGUCUGCUGGAAGAGAGUAGGUGAGUUGUGUUUAGUCUCUUUGCUAAAGAAAUGAGUCAAAGUUAAAAAGAUGUUUGGUGUCUAGUACUAUGUCUGUGACCCUAUAUGUACUAACCUGAGUAGAACAUGGUGUAGUUCCGUUCAGUAACAGAACCUCAUUGGAAAAUUAGCUGAUUUAACUUUACUGUGCUCUUGUUCACAUAUAUUAACUCGACAGCACAUAAAUCCAUACCUGUUAACAAAAUCAUGAUUUUAUUGAUAAUUCGGCUCAAUAAAAACACCUUUACCUUUUCAUUUUACUACAGUAGAAGUUUAUUGGCCCAGCUUAUAGACUACAGAGGUGGAGAAACGCCCCCACUUAAGUUUAUGUUUUCUUAGGAGUUAGAACAACUCUGAAUAUAGUACUAUGUCUGUGACCCUAUAUGUCCUGUUGGUGAAGUUAGGUGCUGU